rnacentral:lncRNA from 1 species
AGCUUCAAGUCAAAGGAAUACGUGCGUGAAACUUUUGCUUGGAUGCAUUACUAUUGGUACCUUACAAAUGAUGGCAUUGAGUUCUUAAGGACUUACCUGAACCUUCCUUCUGAGAUUGUUCCUGCUACUUUGAAGAAACAAGCUAAACCUGCUGGUCGUCCCAUGGGCCCUCCCGGUGACCGUCCACGGUAAUGGUUUCAUUCUUUAAAAAUUUGCUACUCUUUGAUUUUUUCCUAUGUUGGUUGAUGAAAAUUUGUUGCUUUGUUAAUUUUUAUGCUGGUUUUGAAUGUAUCAGCGGCCCACCACGCUUUGGUGACGGUGAGAGGAGAUUUGGUGACAGAGAUGGCUAUCGCGGUGGUCCUCGAGGAGGCGGUGAUUUUGGUGAUAAAGGAGGAGCUCCAGCUGAUUAUCAGCCUUCAUUCAGGGUAAUGCUUCUUUCAAUAAUUUUGGGACUUUUUUUUAAAUAUAUGUUGGCUGUUUUGUUACCACUUGGAUUAUGACUUUGUUUACAAAGUUAGGCUUGUCUGUAUGAGGUUUAGGGUUUUUACAGUAGUUCUUAGCUGUCUUAGUUAUGACCAAUUAUGGAAUUAUUUGUUUGCUUUUUGGUAUUUGCAUACCGUGUUACUGUCUCUGAUGUGGGGUAUGUUCAUUUUUUUAAAGUUUUCCAUGCAUUUCAAGAAUCCUUAGAGGAUUGUAUCCUCACACCCAUAAUCGAAAAUGUGUUUGACACAUGUGUCGGAUACGAAUAUUUCAAGAAUAAUGAAGAGUCUUGAGUGACAUGGUUUACUUGUUUUGUUCCAACAGCUUAGUUUCAAAUAUAAGCUGUGAACGAGUGUUGGGCUUGCUAUGAUGUUAUUUUUCUUUGAAGAAUGCAGUUUCAUAUAAUUUGCUUGCACCAUAUCAAUGAGGUUAUUUAUCUUAUAAUAGAGAAGCUGAUAUAAUUUCAUUGUCUUACUUGUGAACGCCCAGGGCCCUGGAACACGGCCUGCUUUUGGUCGUGGAGGUGGUGGUUAUGGUGGUGCUGGACCUGCUGGUCUUCCUUGAGAGAUGAUUUUUCAUGAUGGAUAAUUUUGUCAGUUUAGGUUUGUUAUCAUAUGGAGUUCAUAGAAGUACUUGUCUUAUGCUUCAAUGUUCGGUAAUUUUGGUUUGAUGCUUAAAAACGCUGC